rfam:Actinomyces neuii BVS029A5 genomic scaffold supercont1.4, whole genome shotgun sequence.
GGGGAUGAUCGGUUUCGACGGUGGUCGUCGGUUUAGAGGAAGCGGGCCGAGGAUGUGAAGUCCACUCGCUAACGCUCUUCACAAAACAAUAGGUGCCGAACACAAUCGCACCGAUUUCGCUCUCGCUGCCUAAGCACGAAGCGAAUCCGUCAGCCCAGGGAGUGCCUUCGACCUGGACCUGGCGUCGUCUAGAGGGCCACUGGUUGCGUAGCACGCCAUCGGCUGCGUAACGACACUUAGAUGGCUGGGCCUGUUACACAUCUUGUCUGUGUGAAUGUGUAAGGCCAAGAAAAUCAUUAGCAGACUGCGCCCGGAGAAGCUCUAAGGGCCGGCCGCCGGACCGGGGUUCGAUUCCCCGCAUCUCCACUA